AUUGUGACAUAAUGUUCACCAGAGAACUUUGGAAUAACUCACAUUCAUUAUUCUGACACAGAUUAGGCUCAAAUGGCAAUUGAUGGAUGGGGAGGCAAAGAAAGUUGAUCUGCCAAAGAUAAAUGCACAAUUCUAACCAAAUAAACAUCCUAAAACUGAAAAAAGGAGAUGUUCAGGAACAGCUGGAUUCUGCAUUCCCUUGCCUAUCCAAAAUGCCUGUUUGGGUGCAUGAAGAACGUUGGAACAGACUCCAGAAGAGAAGAAAUGAUGUCCAGAACUACCACAAUCUUGGACAGCAGGGAACACUAAAAUAUUAAAUACAGACUAACGCGGCUGCUACUCUGAAACCUCAGCAUUCUUUGACUGUCAUUGAAGAUCUGCCUCAUAGUGAAUUUUGCCAUUUAUGUCAACGGGCGUAGACCCUAUGCCUGAUACCUAGAGUGCUGCAGUACACCCUAUCCUGUCUUUCGUGGCAAUAUAUCUAAAGUUAGUACUACAUUAGCUGAGACACCAAAGGGCAUGAAGAGUAGAAAUUCUUUUAUUCACCAAUGUUAGUAGCCUGGAUAAUAAACAAGAGGAACUGGAAUUGCUCAGUUAUGAGCAUAAUUUUAUCUAGCUAGUAUUACUGGAACAUAAUGAGAUGAUUGGCAUGACUAGAAUGUUAAAAAUCAAUGGGUUAGAUCUAUUUUGGAAGGAUGGAGUGGAGAAACUGAGAGAGGGGAGUGCCAUACUAUGUCAAAAAAAAUUACUACUUAUCACUGACAACUCAGAAGCAAAUGUUCUUGAAUGCAGAUAGAUAAAUGUUCUAAUAGGUAAAGCACAAGAUGGGGAACUAGUUGGUGUCUUCUACAGACCACCAAAUCUCUCUCACGCACGCUCAGAUGCAAAAGGGGACUUCAACCUGAGUGACCUAAGGUGGAGGUCUCAUGUUGCCAGAAUUAAAAAAACAACUUUGGAAUUUCGAACACUUAUAUAUGACAAUUUCCUAAUUCAAAAAGGGUUACAUCUAACAUGGUGGAAUUUUAUAUUAGACGUCUUGACAGAUAAA